CUCCAAGCUUGCUAAAGUAACUGUAGUAAAAGAAAUGUAUUAACUUCAGAUGCUACUAAGGUUGCCUAUUUUAUCCUACUACAGAA
ensembl:snoRNA SNORA66 Small nucleolar RNA SNORA66